GCUAAUUUGGCAGAUUAAGUGCUUUAAAUUUAGAAUUUAAUAAUGUAUAUUUUACAGUUAGUA
rnacentral:tRNA from 1 species